AACUCUCGGGGCGCUCCCUAGCCCUGGGUGGGUGGAGCGGGGGAAGCGGAGUACGUUGGACCCGGCUCCGCCCUACCCCACGGGGCCGCCUGGAGAGGUGCUGGGAGCUGGGUGGAGCUUAGAGGAAUUAAACUUUGGCCCUGCGCCUCGUCCAGCCUAGGUUCCACCCUUUUCUGGGAACGUGAGUAUCAACCAAGGCUGGAGUGCAGUGGCA